UGUAACGCGUGGAUAACCUGCCCUUUAGACCGGGAUAACGCCGGGAAACCGGUGCUAAUACCGGAUACGUUCAGGUGCCUGCAUGGGUAGCUGAAGAAAGGAGUAAUCCGCUAAAGGAUGGGUCCGCGUCCCAUUAGCUAGUUGGUAGGGUAACGGCCUACCAAGGCGACGAUGGGUAGCCGGCCUGAGGGGGCGACCGGCCACACUGGAACUGAGACACGGUCCAGACUCCUACGGGAGGCAGCAGUGGGGAAUCUUCCGCAAUGGGCGCAAGCCUGACGGAGCAACGCCGCGUGAGUGACGAAGGUCUUCGGAUUGUAAAACUCUGUCCAGAGGGAAGAAGGAAGUGACGGUACCUUUGGAGGAAGCCCCGGCUAACUACGUGCCAGCAGCCGCGGUAAAACGUAGGGGGCGAGCGUUGUCCGGAAUUACUGGGCGUAAAGGGCGUGUAGGCGGCUUGGUAAGUCAGUCGUGAAACCUACCGGCUCAACCGGUAGCUGGCGAUUGAAACUGCCGGGCUUGAGUGCAGUAGAGGGGAGUGGAAUUCCCAGUGUAGCGGUGAAAUGCGUAGAUAUUGGGAGGAACACCAGUGGCGAAAGCGGCUCCCUGGCCUGUAACUGACGCUGAGGCGCGAAAGCGUGGGUAGCAAACAGGAUUAGAUACCCUGGUAGUCCACGCCGUAAACGAUGGGUGCUAGGUGUUGGGGGGUAUCGACCCCUCCAGUGCCGCAGUUAACGCAAUAAGCACCCCGCCUGGGGAGUACGGCCGCAAGGCUGAAACUCAAGGAAUUGACGGGGGCCCGCACAAGCGGUGGAGUAUGUGGUUUAAUUCGACGCAACGCGAAGAACCUUACCAGGUCUUGACAUCC
rnacentral:rRNA from 1 species